rnacentral:lncRNA from 1 species
UCGACAACGACCCUGUGAGGCAGAUACCCUUUUAAUCCUCAUUUUACAGGUCUCUUGAAGACAUGGCUCCUCAGGAGCAAGCACGGCCCUGGGCACCAGCGGAUGCGGCAUGCGGAUGAAAGGCACAGGCAGCUCCAGAUCCUUCCGAUGCAACGCGUCAGAUCUGAAGGAGCAGCAGGCUGAGGCUCAGGUCCAGCGUCAAAAUGGGGAUCAGUGGCGAUAAGAUUCCUGAAGGAUGCCAUCGAGCCGAGCAGGGGCUGAGGUCUGAAACUACCCAUGUCAGGACAGCGGCCAGCAGUGGUGGGUGCUCACUGAACACCCGUGUCUUUCUCCUCGAAACCCCUGCAGCCCUACAUUCAUGUCUCUUGAGAUACUUAUCCCACUCAAUCUGAAUGACUCUCAUUGGUGCGUUUUGUUCCGUCC